rnacentral:lncRNA from 1 species
AGCUGAGCUGUGGUUUUGCCCAUUGUUCCACAGCCCAGCCAACUACCUGACUUAGCAGCCACCAUGACACCUGGUCAGGGGAUCCGUGCUCCUGGGGAUCACGGAAACUAAAGUAACAAUUGAAUAUCAAUUACCACCUACCUGCUUGGAGGUGUGAAAGAAUGUUUAUAAAGCAGUUACAAGAUCUCCAGAGAAAGGCCAACUUAAUAUAAAGGGAGACGUUCUUACUAAUGGGUGAGAGCCUCACCUUUAGGAAGUCCAUGAAUUUUCUCUGCAGUGAUGCAAGACGAAGGGAAAAACAAGGCAGCUCCAGAAAGGUGAGAUGUGUGAAAUUAAACUGGUUAUGAAGUUAGCCCAGUUUCAGGAGUUUUUUUCCUCUUCCCAGAUGGAUGUGAAAAUCCUGGAAAGACACCAAGGGCCACCUCUGUGUUGAGAAGUGGCUUUCUAUUGGAACCUGCUGUACCUGAAGAUCAGCAACCAUUUCAAGCGGAGCCAGUGGGUGUUGAGCUAAGGAUGGAGUUGCAGCAUGAGAUCCGAGGUGACACUGGGCUGAGGAAUUUCCUCAACUACAUGGAAAGAGGAACCUGAAAGCUCUACCAACCAACAUGUGUAUCAGUUACCAUUUGUUUCUUUCUUUUUAAAUACAAAUGAUGUGAGUUAGAAGACAUUAUAGCUAACCUUACUAGGAAACUAGUAAGAUUCUAUUGGGAUGAGCCAUAGCUUGUGGCUUUGUCCAUAUGUUCUGUGUCUGACAGAGAGGCAGCCUUGCCACUGGUAGUGGUACAGCAGGACUCUGUCCAGCACUGUCAGGCUUAGGUUAAGUAUGAACUGAUUCUCAUUUUUAAUAAAGCUUAUCUUGUCAGGUAAUAUAGAGAUCUUGCUACCAGAGAUUCUCACCCCCAAUACUUCCAUAGACUUUUCCUUUAACUUCUUUUAUUAAAAAUGUUUUACAUUUAAUAAAAGGCCAUUCAGCCCCAUACUGGCAGCUGCACUGAGCCAGACAAAGUGGCUCAUGCCUGUAAUCCCAGCACUUUGGGAGGCACUAGAUGAGUGAGGAGGGCAUGAGUGAGGAGGGUGGGUGGGGGUGGGGGGAGGGUUUUGUAGGAAUGAAGUGCACUGUAGAAAGCAGAGUUGGCUGAGUACUCAGGGCUCCCUGCAGGUGUCCCUGCAAGUAGAGGGAAAUGUGAACUGAGAGGUGGGGACUGUGACAGGACUUGCAUUCCUCAGUCAGGCUUUUUCCUGCCACUGUUGACAAUGGAAACCUGGGUGUGCUUGCUCUUGUAGAUUACUCGUCACCACGGCCUUCUAUUUGUCAUCGUUCCUCCCAGUCAAUCCUAAUACCUCACCCGGAACUGAGCUUUGAAGCAUUUAAAAGUUUAAUUUUUAAGGCUAAUCUUAGCAAUUCAUAGUUGAUAAUAUUGUACUUUGGAGGAAUGCCAGGUACAUGAGAAAUGUUGAAUUGUUUAAUCUUAGGGUAAAAAUUUCUCCAAAACGUUAUUUCUGAAAUGACAGUCACUAGUUGAGCAUUUAUUUGGCAGAAUUGACUGUUGAUGCAGACAGUAUUACACACCUUAUCAGUGUUUUCCAAGUGAAUAUCUGUCUCUAUUUGAAAAUUCAGGCUGGGCAUGGUAGCUCACACCUGUAAUCUCACAUUUUGGGAGGUCAAGGUAAGCCGAUCACUUGAGUUGAUGAGUUUGAGACCAGCCUGGGCAACAUAGUAAAACCCCGUCUCUAUCAAAAAUACAAAAAAAUUAGCCACGUGUGGUGGUACAUGCCUGUAGUCCCAGCUACUCGGGAGGCUGAAGUGGAAGGAUCGCCUGAGUCCAGGAGUUCAAGGCAUGGCAUUGAUUGUGCCAGUGCACUUCAGACUGGGUAACAGAGUGAAGCCCUGUUUAAAAAAAGGUAUGAUGAAUAGUGUACAGAAAUCAGAUUUCAUAUUGCCUUAAAAUAGUGCCUGUACUUUAUCUUCUUAUUUAAGGUAAUUUACUAAAAGUAAAACAUUUUCUUGCUAGAUUGCACGAAUAAGUACAUAAGGUCCCCAAAGAACUUCCUCUUGUCUUUCUCAUUUUAGGAGAUGAAAGUGUCAUAGAAGUCACUAGCAGUGGGAACUGGCAGUUGAGCUGAUUUAGGGGUUGGUCCAAGCCUGGGGGUAGGAAGUGGGUCUCCUGUUUUUUCCACCAGGGAGAAUCUUUCCGUUUCCUAAACUAAAGAUUAUUUCCAUUCCAUUUCCU